CUCCGUUGCUGUAGUGCUGUGACUCACAGCACUGAUUAAGCAAAUGAUAAACGAGAAUGAUUUUUUUUUUUUUUUGCGAGAACGAUUUUAAGAACAGACUAGUACCUCAAGAGUGGAUUCAGAUCCAAAAUGGCUACGAAGUCACUUCUAGAACAUGACAAGAACCCCAGGCGCCUGCCUUAUAUAACAAAGGACAAGACCACCUUGGAGGCCCUUCAGUUGCUGGCCACACUUUCUGUACCAUCUUUGAAGAGGAUGUGGGCGGAACAUUUGAACUUGACAUUCAAAGGAACUUCAAGGUGCACUCCGGAAACCUUUGAAAUUCAGGACUGGAGAACUGAAGAGUGAUGGAGAGGCAGACAGGAAGGAUGCUGAGGGUCCCUGAGACACAGUGCUGGGUCAUCUCCAACCUGUUAGCCUUUAAACCUGCCAACAUCUUCCUUUGCUUUCUGAGGGACAGUGUCGGAGGCUUUCUGGAGUGGCCAGGCUUAGCCCAUGAAAAGGCUUAUCUCAUGUGCUUCAAAGAAAUGAAAACUCCGUUGUUGGGCUGACUUUGAAGUCUUGCUACACGGGUUUUGGAAUGGUGAAGGCUGACCUCAAUGGAGGCUGACUUCAGAUCAGGGUAAUCCUCUUGCCUCAGGUUCCUGGGUCCAGGCGUUACAGAUUACAGAGAAGUGAGAAUUCCCACUGAUCCAGCGAGGAGAGUACAUCAGCUUCAGUCACUGCCACUGUCCUGUGAGGGAGGUCCUGGAACAGCUCCAUCACCGUUGGUUCAAGUUGGCAGAGAGGAGCAGGUCCAGGCUGGCAGGUUUGACAGAUGAGGAUGUGGACACCCAGACUGGCAUGGCAUUCCUC
rnacentral:lncRNA from 1 species